rnacentral:rRNA from 1 species
GUGAGGAAUUUUCCGCAAUGGGCGAAAGCCUGACGGAGCAAUGCCGCGUGAAGGAUGAAGGCCUAUGGGUUGUAAACUUCUUUUCUCAGAAAAGAAUUAUGACGGUAUCUGAGGAAUAAGCAUCGGCUAACUCUGUGCCAGCAGCCGCGGUAAGACAGAGGAUGCAAGCGUUAUCCGGAAUGAUUGGGCGUAAAGCGUCUGUAGGUUGUUUAAAAAGUAUUCUGUCAAAGAUUAGGGCUUAACCCUAGAUAGGCAGAAUAAACUUUUAAGCUAGAGUUUGGUAGAGGCAGAGGGAAUUCCCGGUGGAGCGGUGAAAUGCGUAGAUAUCGGGAGGAACACCAAAGGCGAAGGCACUCUGCUGGGCCAAUACUAACACUGAGAGACGAAAGCAAGGGGAGCAAAUGGGAUUAGAAACCCUUGUAGUCC